GUUUUUAUACCACCCUGAACAUGCCUGAUCUUGUCUGAUCUUGGAAGCUAAGCAGGAUUGGGCCUGGUUAGUACUUGGAUGAGAGACCACCUGAGAAAACUGGGUGCUGUAGGCU
ensembl:rRNA 5S_rRNA 5S ribosomal RNA